AGAAUCAACGCUGGCGGCGUGCCUAACACAUGCAAGUCGCACGAGAAAGGGGACUUCGGUUCCUGAGUACAGUGGCGCACGGGUGAGUAACACGUGAAUAAUCUACCUUCGAGUGGGGAAUAACUGAGAGAAAUCUUAGCUAAUACCGCAUAAUACCUACGGGUCAAAGCAGCAAUGCGCUUGAAGAGGAGUUCGCGGCAGAUUAGUUAGUUGGCGGGGUAAUGGCCCACCAAGACGAUGAUCUGUAUCCGGCCUGAGAGGGCGCACGGACACACUGGAACUGAAACACGGUCCAGACUCCUACGGGAGGCAGCAGUGGGGAAUUUUGCGCAAUGGGGGAAACCCUGACGCAGCAACGCCGCGUGGAGGAUGAAAUCCCUUGGGAUGUAAACUCCUUUCGAUCGGGAAGAUAAUGACGGUACCGAGAGAAGAAGCCCGGCUAACUUCGCGCCAGCAGCCGC
rnacentral:rRNA from 1 species